CUGACCUUCAAUGGUUGCAAUAGUAGAGAAAUAGGGAAUCUCAUCCCACAAGCCGCAGCGUUCCUAGGGGUCAAAGGGGACUUGAAACUAUACAUAUUCACCUGUGAUCUCUGCAGGAAAGAAGUCUCAUCUUUGCCACACAGAGGGAAAAGGAUCCUGAGCUCAAGAGACCUUCACGGAAUAGGAGCUGCUUGUCCAGUGAGGCUUCCUGUACCUUUUAUGAUAAGAAGCCACUCAGAAGUCAGAGGAAAAAGAGGGACUGAGAACAGGAGUCCUGAAAUAAGGCCCUGGAAGAGAAGUCAUCUGGCCUUUCUGAGCCUUAGUUCUCUGACCUGCAAAAUGGAACGGUUCGACCAGAAGAUGUGUGAGGUCUCCUCCAACCCUAAACCAAGAAAAUGGAUUCUGGAUGCUAGACUGUGGAGUCAGGAUACUUUAUAAAGACAUUUCAUAUGUGUUAUUCUGAGGAAUCAUCACAGCUCCACAGUGGAGCUCCUGUUUUACAGAUAAAGAGACUGAGACCCGGAG
rnacentral:lncRNA from 1 species